rnacentral:lncRNA from 1 species
GGAGGAGCAGUCACUCAUGGGGACAGCAUAUGUGCUCUCUGGUUUGUCACAGUCUUCACUCUCCAUGUUGUAAUCUACCCAGCCUGCUUCGCUCAUUGGCUUUAUCUGUGUAGCCGCUGGAAGUAUUUUUGGCCUGUGGAUACCUUCAUACUACUCCCUUUUACUUCUUCCCACACACCCUUAAUUUAUGGAACUACUUACAGCUCCUGCAACAGGUAAUAGAGCUUCAAGACUGUGUGACUCUAACACCAUGUAACUCUGAAAUCCUCAGCACUUCCGGCCAUCAAUGGUGCUAGCCAAUGGAACUAAUAGUGAUGUCCAGCAGAUGCUACCUAUUAGGAGUGGCAGUGGAGGACAGUGAUGACAUCCACCAAAGCCCAAGGGAAAGCAAUACUUGUGCCCACAAUCUGCAGCAAUUUGUCCAUGACAGACACAGUGGUACCCAGCAAAGAUGGUCAGUGGUUGAACCUGUCUGUGAAUGCAUGUGAAGUCCCUUCUGAGAACUCCCAGAAAUAUCGUGCAGAAAGGAGGGAGCUUUGAAGAGCUGAUAUCCUGUGUUAGUAGGCAGAGUCUACUCUCUCCUGAGAAUGUUCCCCAAAGUGUUUGAAAUACUGGCAAGAGACAUUUAAUGAGGGCCCAAUAAGAUCUUCAAUUUUCUUAUCUCCUCACUAGGAACUGAAGUAUAUUAUCUAAUUCACAUAUGUCCUGGAGGAAUAAUUGAGCUCCUGCAUGUUUCUAAUGUUUUCUAAUGAUAGAAACUGAAAGAUAACAAGUUACAGGAAUACAUAUCUUUUUGAAAAACAGCUCAUAUCAUUUUAUAUGCUCGUCUUGAUAGCAUUUUGAUUGCAAUUUCCAUUAUCCUGUUUCACUGUAAAUAUUAUUUGUAACUUUGAAAUAUUUAUCAACUUUGCCAAGUUCCCAAGUUCCUCAAAGCAACAAUUAAAUUUUAUUUUUGAAAUGUCAUAAA